GCAUGUAUGAGUCAGUUUUUGAUUCCUGACCAAUUCCCUGCAGUUUUCUUGGCAACAUUUUAGAAAGUAAUUUGCAUUGCCCGCUUUCUAGGGCUGAGAGUGAGUGACUGGCUCAAAGUCACCCAGAUGGUUUUAUGCUUUAGCAGUAGAACUCACAGCAUCCCAAUUUCUAACCUGUAACCUUGACCAUUACACAAAACUGGCUCUCUAAAUAAAUAAGUAAAUAAAUAAAUGUGUUUCAACUUGCUGUUUUAAGUUUGCCUUUCCUAACUUGAUGCCAUCAAGAUUUCAACUCCUGUUAUCCCCAGGCAAUCUGCCAAUAGACUGAUGGAAAUGGAAGUUAAAGACAUCUGAAAAGCAGCAGGUUUGGAGGGCUGGUGCAUACUCUGAAAAAUAAACUUAUACAUUGGGAAGCACCUUUAUAUUUUCUUUUUCUUCACUUGACAAACAGGUCAAUGUUUGGUUUAUAUCAGAUGAUGUUUCAUGAUAAUUUUCAUCUGAAUAAAAUUCUGUGCUCUGUGAACUUUUCACCCUCAGUAGGAAUGAAAAUAAAUCUUAAAGCACUGUAGUGGUUUAUGGGAAAGUGUUCCUGUGUUGUAACCCAGCAAAUCACUACUGAUUUGGCUUCAGAGAUUGUUACUGUUUUUUAAAAAUUAGUAAGAGAAUAAUGGGGUGACUAAAUCAAAUAUUAUUAAUGUAAAAGAGAAACUUUCUUUGGGAGGAGUUUCCAACAUUGUGUGACAACUUAUUAUACAAUGUUUUACAUAUCACGCCAGGCUGAAAGAGUGUUAUAAAAAUUGCUUCUGUGCUCUAUAUGUCAACCUCCAGCAUGAGUAUAAAAAUAAAAGCCCAGGAUUAUUUUCUUUACUGGAAAAUAUUUUUGUUUAUCGGUCUAAAAAACAAUUUUAGUAAAAGAGCAGUGAACCUAAUAGGUAAAGCCCCCAAAUUAAAAUACUGUAGAUUCUCUGCCUAAAAAAACAUAUUGUUCUCAAAAUUAAUUUUUGAAAUCCUAAAUUUAGGAUUCUAGAAUCACCCAUCUUUCUGUGCUAAAUGGGUUGGAUCCUACAAAGGUUCAGCCAGCUUAAUGUUAUUUCACUUUGGUUUUAACUGUUGUUUGGACUCUAUCAAGAAUACCAUAGGUUAGAAUUAAUCAUUUGUUGAAAAUUACAGGAAAUUCAGUCAAGAAUACAUAUCAGCAUUGAACCAAAUGUUGCUAUCGUUGUCAUGUAAUUUCAGUGGAAAUAAUAAAUAAUGGUAUCUCAUUUUAGUGUUGGAUUCAUUUUAUUAAUUUUAGUGUAAAGAUCACAAGGUUGGUUUGAGAUUUGGAAGCUGAAUUAAUGGGAAAUAUUUCUAAUGUAGUGUGUUUCAUAGUGAGAGUAUAAGAGUCUUGCAUGUAUGAAACUUUUCCCUAUAUGUUUGAUCUGCCCAUAAUAUAUGGAAUUAUUUAACUCUUAAAUAUUUUUAAAGAUUAUUUAGAUCUUUUGAUCUAAAGUCCACGUGACAGAUAAAAAGUGCUAAACUGCUAAAAGCACAAUCAAUAUUUAACUGAAGCAAGCCCCAGAUAUGUCAAAAACAGUGCUCCCGCAAUCAGGUGUAGGAUUGCUGUUUCAAUGAAUGAUGGUGUCUGCCAAUUGUGUGACUUAUCUAUAUAGCAGUUAAUAUUGAGGAUAUUCUUAUAUUUAAGAACAAAACAUAAUGAGAGAAAAACUGGUUCCCUGGAAAUAAUUAAUAUAGUUUGAAAAAUGCACAUUAAUAUUAAAUGUUGUGAACUUAUAACAAUGGACCCAAGUAAAGAUUAAAAUAAUUUUAGAUGUAAUGUCAAAAUAAGAAUCCAAGUAUGGUUUUGGUAAACUGUGCUAUAUCAUUUAUUUUUCAUAGAAAUUAAAUUAUAAAAGUUGACUCCUCAUUCACAUGCCCUCAGUAUGGGUAAAUAGCAAGAUGUGCCUGGUGGAGUAAUUAUACAAAUAGUAUGAUUUAGAUUCUGGUGAUGAAACAUAACUCAUAAUAGCAGUAUUUACAUGAAAAUAUCAGCACACUCAUGUUAUCAAUUUGGCUUUAUUAUAGUUUGCUGUAGAUUCCACUGUCCUCAUUGCUUUGAAAACAGAAUUACUUUUAGCUAUACUUCCCCAAUAUAUAGUAAAGGUAAAGGAGUCCUGGCAGAUGUUACUCUGCUAAUUGGUGCCAACUAGAGGGGGUGGUACUCCUCUCCGUUUCAAGGCCAUUGAAUCAGCGCUGUCAGAUGACAAUUCUGCAAUCAUAUGGCCAACAUGACAUCACAGAGUGAUGUUACCUUCCCACUAAAUUGGUACCUAUUUAUUUGUCUGCUUUUGUCUCGUAUUUGCCUGCUUUUGAAAUGCUAGGUUGGCAGGAGGUAGGGUGAGGAUCAGAGCUCACCCACUUGCACGGUUCUUGGGUCUCAAACAAGCCCAGCAUCUUAACUGAUGAGCCACCCCAAUCAAUAGUAAUCUAACCAAGAUUUCAGCAUGUGAUAUUUAUAAAAAUUCUUAGCUACUAAUCAUUGGUCAAAACAGUGCUGAAGGAUAGAAGUUGGAUGAAAAGAAGAAUGCCCAAGGUUGUUUCCUCCCCAUUAACCUGCUUCAUCAUGUGAGAAAUCCUUUGAGACUGAGCCACUGUGCAUGUGUGUUUUCUUUUUCCCUAAAGGAUCAAAUGAAAGAAAGCAAUUGGCAUGCCGUAUCUGCUUCCCAGGUUAUUCUGGUUUCAAAACCCUGCUGAACUCCUGCUGCCAUGUCUUUCCCUUUUACUUUAGAGGCAACAUCAGAGUGGAACGGCGGGUGACCCUGUGCACUUGCUUCAAAUGAGUGUAAAUAGAAGAUGAUAUUACUUGUCUGAAUGAAGUGGACUAUCCCAUGGAGGGGAAUAAUAGCUGUCGCCUAGCACUGAGUCUCUUUCCCUCUUCUGAAAAAGACGAGAAAGAACUUAAAAGUCAAGGAGACCCCAAGAUGAGGGCGAAUGUUGAUUACUUUAAAGAUUAAACUGUUACCCUGGUGAAGUCAGCAAAUACUGUUUCUAAGCAGUGAUUUCAAUGUCUCUUGAGUGCUAUGAAUCUUAGUGGUGAUUAGGAACUAGUGUUUUAAAGAUGUAAAUACAAUUCAAUGGGAACUUGCAAAUUUUAUUUGGUGGUUUUGACAAAAAGAAAAUGAUACAGAAAUAGCAUGACACAAAUGAUUAUUUGAAAACUGUAUUGAUGCAAUAUACAAUGUUACAAUACUAUUUUACAAUAUUGUAAAACUCUUCAUGUUGCAAAAGAGCAGCACUUUUAAUGAACAUAUUGGCAUGAUGCAUAAUGUUCUUUCCAUUUCUAGUUAAUUGAAUUUCCACAAGCAGCAGUAACUACAUUAAUAUUGAGAACUGAUGGAAUCUAGCUGUUUCUUGGCAAAGUUUGGAUUGUUAUUUCAUUAAGCAACUAGGUAAGUAUUAAAGCUCCCCCAGAUGGUUUAUAUAUUAUAAUAAUCUUCUUCAUAGAAAUUCUCACAAAGAAAAUAAUUAUGCAUAAACAGAUUCUGAUCCUCAAGAGCAUAGUGUAUUUUAACUUGAAAUCCCAUAAUGACUAUGACCCUUAACCCUGAUGUAACUAUUUUCCAUCCAGGCUACUUACAGAAAGACACCAAAUAACACAAGACAAUGCAAAGGUUAACAAAGUUAGUGGAUCAAACAAACUUGAUACAGACAAAGAACUUUCACAUACAGCAAAUAAAUAAACUUAAUCUAUCAACUGAUCACUGCAAAAGAACCGAGAUACUAAAUGUUACUAAGCGCACAGAUAAGUAUGAAAAUAUGUUGAAUACUUGGCAAGAGUAGAAAGGCAGAGGACUGGAUUCUGGAAGCUGUGCUUGCUAUCACCCUUAGUCAUAUCAUCCAUCAUCCAGCUACUGAAGCCAACUCCCUGCAACAAAGAGACACUUGUAAGUUUAUAUUGCUGCCAUAAAUUUUUGGACAAUGAAAGUUCUUUGGGGAAAAAAAAGAACUUUCAAACUCCUGGAUAUACUGCACAAUCCAGAUCAUCAAAUAACCCCCAUGCUGGGAUUUGUGGAAUGUUCCAUCUUUAGUCAAAACUGGAAACCUAAUAAAUUAAUAAUCCUAUAGUGCACAUUGUAAACAUGAAAAUCACUGGGUCAAUAGAAGACCUCCAUCUACUGAAGGAAAUGAGAGCUAUUUUUCCACUUCAGAAUCCUACAAGUAAAGUUUUUCAAGUUUAUAUGAGGGAAAAGAAAAUAUUAAUUGGAGAAAUGUAUAACAUGUAUUAAUUUUUGAGUAGCUGUUGUGGCUUGCAAUAUUUGAUAAAAUCAAGUUUUGAAAAAUAGUUUGUAUAUUCAGGCUUCUUAAACAACACCUAUGUUUACAUCUCAGUAUAUUCAAUUCUUCAGUUAGGUUCUGUUGUACUCUUAUUUUGAAUAUUACCAUCUGAGUAUUCAUUACUUUAGACUUAUUCAAAAGUACUAACAGCAAGAAGAUAUUUAUUUUAAAGGAAAAUCUCUUUAACAGCACUAUGAGUACUGUACAUCUCAGAUGUUAGAUAACAAUAUUUGAUACAUAGACAAGGAUUCAUGGAUUUAAUCAUCAUUAAUUAUAAUCCAACUGUUUAUCUUUGGGGGAUGGACUCUGGUUUGGAUAUAAUACAGGUAGUCCUCAAUUUACCACCACAACCCAACAUUUCCCUUGUUAAAUAAGUCAGUUAUUAAGUGAGUUUUGCCUAUUUUAGGACCUUUGAUGUCACAGUUGUUAAGUGAAUCACUACAGCUGUUAAGAUAGUAGCAUGGUUGCUAAGUGCAUUGGGCUUCCUCAUUGACUUUGCUUGUCAGAAGGUUGUAAAAGGUGAUUGCAUGAUCACGGGACCCUGCAACUGUCAUAAAUACAUGCCAGUUGUCAAGCAUCUGAAUCUUGAUCAUAUGGCUACAAGGAUGCUGUAACGAUAGAAAGUGUGAAAAAUAGUUAUAGAAUUCCCAAAAAAGCUCACCAAUAGCUGAGAUCCAUAUUAGGAGUUGCUGAACACUUGCCUACUCCUGUCUUUAAUAUUAUUACAUAAUAAAGGUGACUGCAUGGAGUCAAAAUGUGGAUCUUAAUUCAUAUUUCAAUAUAUGAAAUGUUCCAUGAACAUUAAUGCCUGUGAGUAUAGAUCCAAGUGAAGACAACCUGUUUAACUGAUUAUGGAUCAUCAAGUCAGUGUUAAUUCUUAGCAACUAUACAGAUGAAAGGAAAAUCAUAAACAUUGGUUAAUACUAUUGAUUUUGAUCUUGCAAGUCACACAUGACUUCUAAGAAGCCUUAGGACUUCUUCAUGUGAACUCAAAAGUAUGUCUCAUUGAAUUUAGUGGGUAUUUCUUUAUAUAAAUGAGCUUAGGAUGGCAGUCCUAAGGUUCUUUAAGUUUCAUAAUACAACCUAUGGAAAGUAAUAAAAAGCAAUAGACAAUGUCACUUACAUAUUUUAGCAGAUGUGAUUUUAUCAUAUGGUGUAUAGUUAGCAAUCACAAGAAUUAUUGAUAUCUGUAUUAGAUAUCUUUGGGGGAGAUCAAAGUCAACAACCAAUUUUCUAGGUCAAGACAUAUACCCACCCUGGAGUAGAAUUCUGGCAACCUUUACAAAAUAUAGUAAUAAAUUACGAAUUCAAGAGAAUACUAACUCCAUGGAUAUAACAAAAGUUGGAAGAAUAACAUUUUCAUAUAUAUAAAAAAAUCUCCAAAAGAACAAGGUGUUAAACUAAUAAAUUUUGAUUCUUAACACACUAUCUUCUCUAGUAAUAUUAUAACAAGCACAAAUCAUAGAGUGCAUCUCCCAAUAAUGAUAUACACAUUACAGAGAUAUUUAUUGUCCAUAAUGUCCUGUUUCAUUUUCAGUUGAUAAGUUCCCUCUGCAAUAAUUAGUCUGAGAGAGUGACCAACCCAGAACAUUCUUCCAUAUGUAUAUAACCAAGCUACCAUCACUCCUCCCUGUCAAUUAGCUCACGUUUGCAACACAAUUUUUAAUGACUUGCUCAGUCAUAUGGUAAAGAGUUGCCCACACUCUUCAGGACUGAGAAGAUACUAUCUUCCCAAUUUCUGCUGUCUUGGCCUCCAUAGCACCUGGCACAUACCACAGAGAUGCAGUGAGCAGGUGUUCAUUCACCUUUAUUGUCACAUGUAACUGGGAAGCAAAACUGACAUGAAAUAACUAGAGAAGUCCUAUUUUAGUGAAACAUGUUUAAGCACAUUUUCUUGGUCAUGGAUAUUAAAUGGAGUUAAUUUAAUUCUCCAGUAUUUAUUUUACAUAAAUAGAGUCUAGAGGCAUUAUGAAGGCUCUUUGGGCCUCUUUGUACAUAAAUCUAAACUGCUUUGAGUUAAUUGGCUGUCAAUUAACACAGCUUUGGAGCUCAUAUAUGUUCUCCUGUCAUGAGUUAGUAAAGCAAGUCAUAUGGGCAGUGGAAGCAAAUUUAUUUAUUUGUUAAAUUUAUUUGUCACCUAUCUUGCCAAAUGUCAUGGGUUGCUCAGAAUUUGAACUGGUCUUUCCAGGCAUUGUACAAUUGCCAUUAUUUCCACACUAUCUCAGGAGGACUGCAAUUUAUAUGCUAGAGCAGGUAUAUUAGACAGGCAUUUAUCUUGAAACCAAAACCUGAAUUUGACUCCAAAUCUAAUCUUUGAAUCCUGGUAGAGAAAUUUUACUUAGGAGUAUUUCAAAGAAUCAGCCUUAUUUACAGCCAACCUAUUGCUCAACACCAACAUAAAUUUACAAAAGCAUAAGAAAUAGGUGUGGCUACUGGGCAGUACUGAUGAGAUCAAAGUAGGUCAAGCAAUAGGAGGAAAACCAAGAUAUGACUGAAGGCUUCUGAAAAAGGAAAGAAGUAGAGGAGUUUUAAUUUGGUUUAUAGAUCGUACUGAGUUGAAAAAGAGGAAAGAAAAAUUAUGUUGUAAAAAUAUCAUUUUUCAGAAGAUAAUAUUUCAAGGAGAAAUGUGUUUUAGUUUUAGGAAGAUGUAUUUUGGUUAGUCGUAGCACUCAAAGAAAUACUAUAAUGAAGCUCCUGGGUAGUUUUUUAAAAAAUGGACUCCGUGUUACCAGUUAAAGACGAAUUCAGUUUAAAUUGGUCAUAUUUUCAGUGGAAUAAUUAAAACCUUAAUGGUUUACUAUUCAAAGAUAUAUUUAUAGUAAUCCAUUAGAACUGUGCACAGUAGAAAAUAUUAGGAGUAAAUAGUUUCAUCCUUCUUCUUAUUGCAAGGCUGCCUAUUCCAAACCAAAAAUUAGGAAAGCUCUGUUUAAAAAUAUUUUUAUGAGGAAAGGAUUAAAUUACGGUAAUUCAUAGACUUUGGGAGAGAAGUUCUCACCGACAAAAACUGUUCCCAUUUUCUUAAGCCAAUGUUUUCUUCAUUGAUAUCAUUAAUAUUUAAAUUGUGUCUUAAAGAGUUAAUGGAUACUUUAAUGACUACAGCUAGCAAAAAGGCUACAUAAGACAAAAGAUAUUGAGGAUGUUUCCAGGCUAUAUUAAACAUUUCAGUUCUAUGCAUAUUUAUUUGGAGUAAGCUCUAUUAUAUUUAUGCAUUCUAUUUCCCCCAGAUUAAGACUGAACCUUUAAAACUGUUUUAUUUCAAGGGAAAGGGUUAUGUAUUCAAUUAAUUUUUCUGCUGAAAUCAAUGGGACUUAAAAGUCCUUAAUUUUGAAUGAGUUGUGUUCUUAUUUUAAAUCUAUUACUAAAAGUAUAAUAUGUAAUUAUCCUAUGGAUAUGCUUGGCUUUAUUGUUGACCUAAUGCUGUCCAUUUCUGGAAAAUUAUAGUGCAUUCCAUAAUAAAACAUUAUAGAUUGCUUUAUUACCUUUGGGAAUUCAGCUGUGCUAGUAAAUUAUAGCUUAAGAAUGCUUGCCAUUUAAUUUAAAAAGAAGUUAGUCAUGCAACAGAAAUCUUUGUUAAAUGUAUUACAUUAGUUAAAUAAUAUUUUUCCCAUCAUGGUGAUUGAAAAUAGACCUGUGUGUUCCUGAUUCAGUUCUAUUUAAAAUAUUGGAAAUUGUACUUUUAGUAACAAUCAAGUUCUGUUGUCUGGUCCAAUAAACUAUUCUAUAAAACCAUUAUUUGGAGCCAGAGUUAAAUUUCUUACAUAUUAUGAUUUAAUAUGACUUAAAAUAAUAGAUACAAUCAUUUAAAAUGAAAUUAUUAAUUGGCACAAUCUUGAAAUCUUGAAAAAAGAUUAGUUAUAAAAAUUUGACAUUCAACAAUUAAAUAAAUAGAUCCUCCAAGCUAAAUGGAACUUUUGACAUUAAAUAUAUACCUUAUGGCAAGUAAUACACGUUGGGACAUCUGUUGUCCUUGAGAACAAGCUACAAUUAACUCAUAAGAUGAUAAGAUUAAAUAAAGGCGUCCAGGACUGGUAACAACUACUUCUAAAGUUGUAAGAUUCUUAUACUGAAUCUACAGAGGUCUAUCAAAUUUCCAAUGUGUUUAAGUUUCUAGGAAAAAAUUCACUGCCAAUCAGCUGUCUAUUAACUGCUUUCUGAGACUGAGGUAGCUAUGUUUUAAAUGAUGACAUACCACUUAAGUUUCCAUAACAAGAUCAUUCUAUACAGAGUUUGCAAAAUAAUGAUUCUAUCAAAUAUUUUGCUUAUUGCUAUAUGGAGCCACGAAACAGCAUGGCUGCAAGGGAAAGAUAAGCUAUUGCAGUACAUUUUCAAUGCUCAAACUACCUGCUUUCAAUAAAUUGGUAGUUCAAUUACUGUUUUGUUAGUUUAUUUUUGCUCUAAGUUAUCAUCUGGUGCAAGUAUUUCACAAAAUUAAUCUCUGAUGUAUUCUACUGAAGUUUUUAUUGUUUUGGGGGGUCAUUAUUAUUGUUUGGUCAUUCAUUCAUUCAUUCCUUUCAAGUCAGUAUUGACACCUGCAAACUGCCUGGACAAAUCCCUGCAAUAUACUUAGCAAGAUUUUGGAAGCAGUUUGUCCUCACCUGCAUCCUGGAACUGAGAGAGAUGACUGAUCCAAAGUCAUCCUUUUGGCUUUGUACUUCAGACAAGAUUAGAACUCACAGUCUCCUGGUUUCUAACCUGAUGCAUUAAAAUACAAUGCCAAACUGGCAACCUGAUCUAAACUGGAAGCAAUGAUUACCUGGUUCUUUAUGUUCUGCAGAAGUUUAAACAUGGUCUCUCUGUUUUGAUACGAUGCCUUAACAUUUAUCAUUGAAACAUACAAGUGAUCAAGCUAACUUUUUAUCAUUGAAACAUACAAGUGAUAAUAUAAACUAUAUUAGAAUUAACUUUAGAAAAUUUAAUAAUACGUUAUAAAUUAUUUCAGAAAUAACUCAAAAAGAAAAGUGUAAAAAGGAAAUACUGAAUUGGCUCUGUUUCAUAAAAUUCUCAGGGAGACUAUUAGAGGAAUAAAUGACAAAAUACACAAAUGCUGGGACUUACAUAUUUGCAUCAGGCACUAGGAGACAAAUUCAUAAUCACAGCUUAUAUAGUGGCAUGUGUGUUGUCACUUUGAUAUCAUCUGGUGCAAGUAUUUCUGCUCUGUGUGCCUUAUGUUAGAAAUAUUGUCAAAUGAUAAUAUGAAAUUUUCAAAACUUUUGCUACAUUUUCUAACAAAAUCUGGCAAACUCACUGGUAAAUCAAAACUGUUUCUUCAAAACUAAUCCAAGCAAUGACUUCUAUUUGGACAGUGAUAGGUUUAGUUGCUAGGGAUAUGGAGAAGAAAGCAAAAUAACAGAGGCAUUGUUCACAGUUGUAUUUCUUGAAGCCCAAAUGGAUAAAAGUCAUCCUAUCACUGAGAAGCUUAUAAAUCUAAAUGCCAUGCUGAUGGGAAGUAUAAUGCUUAGAAAGAAGGCAGGACAAGCUACUGACACUGCCUUGGUGAAUCAUGAUAUGCAACAUCAUAAAAAAUCUAUGAUGAUGUGGAGGAGCAAUUACUAGCAUAUGUGCAUGUUAAUAAAUGUUAGCAGUACAACUGGACAGAACUGUGAUCUCCAAAGCAUGGAUAAUUGUCUAAUUUUUGAUCCCUUCAUUUUCCAAACAUUUAAUUAGUGGUCUAUGAUUACAAAAAGUUUAAGAAGCACAGAUCUCUAAGAAUACGCUUAAGAGAAAAAAAUGUAUAUAAUUUUUAUCAGGUUUUAUUCUUCCACAAACAUUAGGUCCUUAUUUUACUAUGAAAGUCUUGAGGAUUGCAUCAGCAUGAUUUAAUUGUUCUUCUCAAGGAUAGAUUCAGGGUCAUUUCAUUGAUUUGUAAAGCUUUUAAUUAUAGUUUCUCAUACUAUUGCAUAGUGCCAUCUAAUUGGUAUAUACAGUCUCUCUUUCCUUAAUUUUCAGAUAAGAUAUUUAUUGGUGUCUAAACCCCCACAUAUAGGGUUUAACAUGAUUAUCAUAUAACCUUUUUGGGGGGGGGGAAAUUCUUCUAGUUGUACAUAGUGUACGUUCUAUGAGUAUCUUCAGUUACAUUGAUCACAAGGAGGCACCACAUAACUGGUGUCAGCUUUAUUGCACAGAUACUUACAUCUAAAGAGUCCUAAUAAUAUUGUUUAUGCUUGUGUGUAUAUAUUUUAGCAUGUAUUCCAUUGUUUCAAUAAUUAUUUCAUUAUCUUUCUCUGCUUAAUUUAAAAUAAGCUAUAAAUAGAGUAUAUUUAGAAAGAUGUGUGUUAACAUCAUUGUUGUUUUAUUUUCCUCUUCUGGACUUAUAUUUCAUUUAAUCAAUUGAUCAAUCAAUAACACAUAUCUAGAAAACUUUAAAAUGUAGUUUUAAUGCCAAUGCAUUUGUGUAAAAUUGGGCAAAGUGCUCUUGUGAGUGAACAUAUGCAUAAUUGAAGAGAAACUACUUAAUCUGCCCCUCAUUUGCUCUGCUAUUAAUUUAAAACAUUUUAUUUUUUGUUAAAAUACCCCAAAUACUCAUAUGCUCCUAGGUAGCUUUGACAAACAUCCUUCUAAAGCAGGCACUUGGAAAGAGUCGGAAAAUAUUCAGAUAUGAAGGCCUUUGAAGUAUCAUAUUGGCCAAAUGUAAGAAAACUGACAGAGAUCUCACUGAAAGAUUUGCAAGACCGUGCUACAUGUUCACAUAUGGCCAUUCUGGUAUUAUACACACAUGAGCUUGAUCAUAUUCUGGCAACUUUCCAGCAGUGAAAUAUCAUAUCCGAAAGAUAAUUUACUAUCUUCCUUUUGAAUGUUUUGUAUUUUUGGCAAAGAUGAUUACAGUACCAUCAGCUUCAAAAAAGAAAGAGAGCGCCCUCUAGCCUCAAUCCUUCAGAAGAGCCUUGAUCUCAGCAUUGGAGUGUUUUCACCCUUUUAAAUUAGGAGUUUUAUUUCCUUGGCAGUAGCUUUAUAAUAAAAAAAUUAAUCAUGAACCCACUGCAUACUUAUAGUUAUUUGGCUUAUCUCUGCUACUCAAAUAAAAGAAGCAUUGUACAGAAUACAAAAUAUGUUAUAAUCAGUUUUUGCAACAGUUUAUGAUAUGACUUUAGAACACUGUUUUGCAAACUUGGCAAUUUUCAGAUGUAUGUGGACUCAAACUUCCAGAACUCCAAGUUCACAAGAGGAAGAGUUUGCCUCAUACUGGAUAAUUGUGAAAUCCUUCAGUUCUGAUUACAGAUCUGCAGAUUACAAAAUACAGUUUGUAAAUUACUCUUCUACCUCAACAGGAAAUAUAGGAAACUUAUAAUAACAAACCUAGAUUCAACUUGUAGCUUAUGGAUGUGUUAUGAGGGAGGACAAGAGGGAGUAAGUGAUUAACUCUCCAUUGUGAUGUGAACUCUGCCUCGGAUAUACUGGGAUGUGACACUACAAUGGAACAUUAUUCUGGUAUUAGUUGUAGUUAUGCCUGUGAAUGAGGUAUGCCUAUACAACCUUAAUUCUUACACAUCCAAAGCUGCCUUUCACCUAAAAUUCAGCCUGAAGUAAAACAGUACAUGAAAAAAAUACACCUUCAGGUCAUAUGAAAAAGUUAUCCCAAGUAUUAUAAGUCACUUUGAAUUUCUAUUGCUCUUCAUAGAGUAAUAUCUUCCUUUGCCUGGUGAAGUGUCAAGAGUAAACUCUUACUUCAUUAUGGAAUCAAAACAACUAAUUCUUUCAAACUGCUAUGAUAAAAUACAUAUGGCUAAUAGUUCAAAUUCUUGAUACAUUUUAAUUAGUUCUGUUUCCUUUUGUUUUAAUAGCAACUGACUCUGCUUUAGUUGGCUUAAAACCUUAAGAAAUGUGUUCACUAAUGAUUAAUUCAAGUAUUUUUCCUAGCCUAUAUGUGAUCUCUGGAUUACUGAGCAUACAUCUUUACCUGAUUUUAAGUGAUGGUGUUUAAAAUGGCCGUAUCCUUUUCUAAAGAAUCAAUAACCCAAAUGUUCCUUUGAGCACUUAGCGCAGCAAUGGCUAUCUCUGACACUUGUUGCAAAAAAAUUAUCUAAUUGGUACUUUUGAAAUUAAAGCAACAAUUAACACCCAGAGCAAAAUUAUGAAUAGUCUUGAAGUGAAAUGUUGAAAUGAAAAAUCUUAAUAUAUUAUAAAUGUUGGUUAUAUAUAUUUCAAAGUGCUGUUAAAAUCCACUUUCCGUUCUCUAAAAUAAUUUAUCUAAAUAUUUUCUGAAAUCAGCCUUUUAGCAUCUGAUAUAACUAAUGGAUCUAAUAAUCAGAAUGGUAUAUCUUUUUUGACAGCCAAAGAGAAAAAUAACACAAGGAAAAUUACAUUCUAAAAUUUAAAAAUGAUACGCCAAUAGGGAGGUAGCUAUGGCAGGCCAAAGUCUCUCCCAAGGUAGAAACAAUUUUAACUAUGCACCUUACAACAAUCCAGCAGUUAUAGAUCAAUUUUUAUCAUAAGAGAUUCACAGGAAAUUGGGAUGGGAUGAGAGUUAUAUUUUUAAUAUGGAUUGAAUAAUGAUUAAAUUUAUCUUCCUCCCAGGCAUUGAGCUUUCUAAAACUAAUGAGUGUUGAGGGACAUAGAUGAGUAAGAUAUCUGCCACAUAGAAAUUUGACUGGAAAGUUAUAAAAAAAGAAUAAUACCAAUAUGUAUUGUAGUUGGACAGCUGUACUAGUCUAUGAUGGUAAAAAAGUCAGCUUACGAAAUCUUAUUCCAGAAAAGGUGCUACAUAUUCCAGCAUAUUUUGUAUGUAUAACCAGUGCUUUUUUUGUUAAAAAAAAAAAAAAGGUGCCGGAACUCACACAUGUCAUACAAUCCGUCUUGCCUACUCUACAAAGUUCCAUCCAAAAAAGGUGCCGGAACUCCGUUCUGGGCGUUCUAUGACAAAAAAAAACCCUGUGUAUAACCAAAUGGGAAAUCUUAACAAUUUUUCAGAGAACUGUUACAUCACCUCAAUUCUUCUUGGCAGCUUAGGUUUGUUUUCUUAUUGAUUCAGGAGUAGCACCAUUUUUAGUAGACUGAGCUUUAGUUGAUCAUUCAUAUCCUAGCAACAGUUAAGGUUUCUAUGAAAUAAUACUCUCAGAUACCUAUAAUUUCAAUCAAUUAUAAUGAGAAAGGCAUAUACAUUUUAUUGCAAAUCAAUCAAUGUUUAAUUUGAUGGCUUACAAUUUAUUUUUGUGGUGAUCUUAAGAUAUUUAUGGAUGAUGGGAAAUGGUCAGAAUUUCACACUGCAACAUAAAAUGUGCAAAUUUUCGUGUUAAGUGUUUGUGUUUGGUUCAAACUGUACCUGCAGAAAUGUGCUACUGGAAUGAUCGUAGAAUUCAGUGAUACUAUUUCUAACUUGAUGAGGCACUUCCUGUUCAACUUAUGGGUUUAUGGUUAUCAUCAUUGGGGAAAUCUGACAUCUGGAAGUACAAUUACAGUGCAGCUUUCAUGGAACCGAAACUAGAAUUCGUUAUAGCUUCCAGAGAUCUCUAGGAGUUUUCUAAUCCAAAGUUAUAGUCAAAUUCUCUGGUGCAGUUCAGAGAUAAAUGUUAAUUUAUCACACAGCGUUCAUACGUUUGCCCUACUCAGCUACUGUGUAGUCAUACUAAGACCAGAAACCCAAACAUUUUUGAAAUGUUGGCUGGUUGAUGAAGACAAUUUUGCAGAUGACCUGAUCACUCCUGGUAGAAAAGCAAAAGAAUCAUUUAUUUAGCUACCAAAAAAAUCUUACUUCAGGAAGUGGCAUGUAUGUUUCUGAGUCAUCAAAAUUACAAUGAUUUCAGCAUUAUGGAACACUAAUCUGAUAAUAAGCACUCUAGACAAACUGGCCUUUGCUAUAAAAAGAAAAGAAAAAGUACCAAUUGCCUGCCUGGUCUUAAACCUUUGCACUUGUUCAUCACCUGGGGAAGAGACGAUGUAAGGUAUAACUUCUUGUUACAAAGGUAGAGUGACAAGAUGGUGGUUGAUCUCCCUUUCUUUCAGGUUACAGCCUUAACCAAGGAGUCAAACUGAUAGUGGAAAUGGCUGCUCCAAGUUAAAAUGCCUGCUGUUUAGCACCAGCGACUAGCCCAAAGUCACCCAAUUGGCUUUUAUGUCUAAGGCAGCACUAGAACUCACAGUCUCCUGGUUUCUAGAUCAGCACCUUAUCUAUUACACCUGCUGGAGAAUUCUGGGAGUCAAAAUCCACACAUCUUAAAAUGGACACGGUUGAGAAACACUGCUGUGGAGAGAUGCAGUUCUACAGGACAGGCACCGCAAUUGAGAAGGUACAACUUCACAAAUGUAGGGUCCAAGAAGAUAGCAUUGUUUGACAGACUUGCCCUGAAGUAUUUCCUUUUUGUUAGAUAUGAUAGGGGAAUUUUGUCAUUUUCUUUCCUAUAGCACUAUUUUUUAAAAAAGUAAUAACAUUGUGCUGUACUUAUUUCUGUGCACACAUGUCUGUUUGAUAAUAGAUUCUUUCCUUCCUAUUUUUCUUUUACUUUUUUUGUUGCACUUUUAUCUUUUUUAUUUCUUUUUUUCUCUUUUCCCUUUAGUUUUUAAUCUUCCUUUUAAAAACAUUUAAUUAUGGGUGUGUGUUGUAUAAAAAGAUAAUAGAUUAUUGGGCAGGAAGCCACAAAAAUGUCUGUUAACAAAAUUUAAAAAGCAGAAACAAAUAUUCCAUUACUCUUAGAGAACUUACUCUUUAUACUAUUAUAAUAUUGUUAGAAUAAGUUCUUGUUCCAUGUUAGGCCUUUGACAUUCUUAUAUCCUAGUAUAAAAGCCAAGAAUAAAGCAAACCUUUUAAGGCAAUCAUGGAGUUACUCUCACUGCUGGAACUCUUGACUUUUAUUACCUUUUCCCAUUAAAAUUAGAUAAGUCUGCCUGCCUAGUUUAGAAAAGACAGCUUCAAUGUUCAUUAUUUUAUGGAGUGAAAUACCAGCAAUAUGUUUAGAUGAGCAACAAAGUGUGCCUGCUACAAAUUGCAAUAAAUAUUUCUUGCUUUCAUGUUUAGGUCUGGAAAGCUUGCUAGAGAACUGAGGCAAGCCAGGUUUCAAUGAAUUAAAACACAUCUUAAUCCACGGCUUCUAAGCUAUGUAUUCAAAACCCUGCGGAAGAUAAUUUUAUCAUGCCAAGUUUGCAAACAAAGAUUUAAUUUUAUGCCAAUCUAAUAAUGUGAUUUGGACAAUUUUCCUUUUUCAGAGAUUGAUACCGAGUAGCAAAUUCAGUUGUCAUCUAAGGCAUCCAUUGGGAUUUUGUUCAUAUGCAACUUUAUAUUUGUACAUAUAGACAGAACUGCACCCAUUAUGUGAUUUAGUACAAGCCUAUACUGAAUGUUAUGUUUCUUAUGUUUUUACUAAUUGCAUUUGAACAGCUGAAAAAACAUUAUUGAGCAAAUAACAUUUGUAAUAUUUUUCAGGUCCUAAGGGAUUUGAUUAUGCCAAUGAUUAAGCCAAUGUCAGCUCUUACGGAGAACAUAAAUAGACCUUCUUCAGAUAAUUUUUUCUUACCUUAAUCCUUCUACCUUGCAAUGAUACGUGCAUUGCCACUGCAAUUGAGUCUACGUACCUUGCUGCUUGCUCUUCUUCUCUAUCCUUUCAUCUUUCCCAGCAUUAUAAAUUUUCAAGAUAGAUAUGUAUUUUAAGGAUGGAUGCAAAAUGUGAUAAUCUGAGCUGGGUGAUUUUGCUCCUUGUAUUAGUAUUUGGGAUUGAUGUGUUCUAUGGCCUGCUUGUUUUCUUAACUAUCUGGGUAUUCUGAGGAAUCUUCUCCCACAUCAUUUUUCAUGAUUUCCAAGGAACAAAGGCAGAUUGGAGAUGGCUGUACAAAAAAUGGAGCCGACAAUCACAGUGAAGAAUGAAGAGCCAACAAGCGAACUAAUAAAUCAUUUCAAACCACUCUGAACAAGGAGACAACUUGAGAUUACUAACAAAUACUCCAGACAACUGCUUCUCACAGGAAUACCAUAAGAUAGUAGUCUCCAGUGUAUUCAAAGCUCUGGGAGAUGAAGGAAUAGCCAUCUCCCUCAAACCACAGUCAGUGCCUUUGAAAAGACAGUAAAUUCGCAUACUUUUUUUUCUAAUCAUUUUUGGGAGUUGCUGUUAACUGUUUUUCAGCUCUUAAAAAAAUCUUUGUAUUGCCAAAUUUGACAGCACUGGCUAAUUUUCCUUUCAGUCCCUAGUGAAUAGAAGUAUUAACUUCAAAAUUAACAAUUUUUUUUCUUGGAAUAAACAAUAAAAGGGUGAUUAAAACUGAUUUUAGAAAGUUAUAGACUAAGGGUCCAGAUAAAUUUGAAAUUAUAAUUUAGAAGUAUAUUAUUUAGAAUUAUAAAGAAUACUUCCCAUGGGAAAAUUCUUUUGUUUUGAUUAAAGAAAAUAAGGUAAAAAUUAGACAGUGAACUAAAGAUGAUAAUUAAAGGACAAGAAUACAUAAAUUCAACUUAUAAUUACAGAACGAAACAAAAUAUUCUACCAUUGGGCAUAUUGAGGCAUAUUUUUAAAAAAUGAACUCAGAAGUUAAUAAUAAUAUCUACAGAGCAUCUGCCUUUAUCAUGACCCUUUGUUUAAAAAAUGUUAUGGAAGAGGAACAACUCUUACCUAACAUGAUAUACGGGAAGGAGUGUCAGUAGCUGGGGAUGAAGCUAAAAGAAGGAUCAGCUUUGAAUGUCUGCAUACCUACAAGCAAGCUAAGUCCAACACCCUCUUGAAUUCUCUUGACCCUCUUCUAACUCCUAGCAGAUGCUGUUAGUUGAGAAUAUUCCUAAAUGUGAGUAGCAAUAAAUCAUUUCAAACUAAUUAAAUCUUCACAUGCAGGCCUGAUUUUUCAUACCUGACAUACAAUCAAAACUGAGUUGAAAAUGGGUUUAUAAAUGGGUUUACAAAUGACAGGAUGACAUGGAAAAGGAUGUUACACUUGACAUACAAAAGCUGAUGUUUUAAUAAUUAAAUGUAUAUAAAAAUAAUAAACAAGAGAGUGAUGAGGAUAAUAUUCCCAUAUAGGAUUCCCCAAAAAGGCUUUUAAGUUUUAAAGAAUCUCAUGAAAAGGGACAAAGAAGACAUAAAAAAAAUAAAGUUGUACGACAUUAUUUGAACAGACUAAAAAGAUUAAAACUGUUUUACGAGAAAAUGAAUAUAAUUUUGAUUUAUUUGAGUGAGCUUAAUAAAAUUUGUUUUAUUUAUUUAUUUCUAUUCCACAUUUAUUAUUUUUUUCUACAAAUAACUGAAGGCAGAGAACAUAUCCAACACACAUUCUUCCUCCUAUUUCCCCCCCCCACAACAAAAAUCUUGUGAAGUGAGUUGGGCUGAGAGAGAAGGACUAGCCCAAGGUCAUCCAGCUGGCUUUCAUGGCUUAGGUAGGACUAGAACUCAUGUCUCCUGCUCUUUAGUCUGAUACAUUAAUCAUUAAACUAAACUGAUUCUCAGUUACAACAAUUAAAUUGUUAUUUUUGGUAAUGGACUUUUGCUGAUACCAGGAGUGAAAUGACAAUGUUUUGCGGAUUGUUUAUAGAUAAGAGAUGGGAUAUGGGAAGAAGAGAUCAGUUGUAUUUCAAGAGGAGAUGAUGUUACUGAAAUUGUUUAUACGUGAUGAAAGUUAGUAGUCAUUUAUUUUUAUUUAUUAUAUUCUUACUUUUCUUUAUUUUCUAUUUUUAUUUUUCCCCUUUUCCCUUUUCUUCUUUUUCUUUUAUCUUUAGUUUGUAUUAGCUUUUACCAUUGUAAUUAUAAUCUUUGAUAAAAUUACUAUAUAAAAAUGAAGUCCUCUCCCAUAUCAACUUUCAAAAGCAUCAAUACUCUUUCUAUUCUGCUUUUCUAAAGUCCAACUUUUACUUGCAUCAAAUAUCAUGAUAAAAACUAAUACAUCUUUGAUCUUUGUAGAUGUGUCACAGCAUCAGAACAUCUGUAACAAAGCCCAUCAAGUGUUAGAUUGUGGUGCAUUUCUUGACUGUUAUUUCCUUUACUGUUGAUAGUCAAUUCCAAAAAGCAGAGGCUAUCCAGCACUUCAAUAUCUUGUCAGUUUCAGAUUGCUGGUUGCUGUACCUGUCGUGAUUAUUUAUAUCUUCUGAAUAAUUCUAUAGUAGUCCCAUUUCCCCCCAUGUUCCUUGAUUUUCAUUACUAUAGCUUUCAGCCUUUUCAGCUACCAGAGUAAUCUCAGCAAAAUGCAGGCUGCUAAUGUUUCUUUCUCGCUAAUUUUAAAACUAUGUUUAUCUUCCAAUCCAACUUUACUCAAUAUGUAUUAUGUAUAUAGAUUUAAUAAAUAUAGAACAUUACAUUCCUGUAUCACUCCUUUGUCAGUUUUAUAUCACAUUUCACACAGACUGCAGUUUCCUGACCUGCGUACAGAUAUCUCAUGAAGACACUGUUCAGGGAUUUCUAUUUUCAUAAGCAUAGUCCAGUUUAAAAUUGUCAACAUAAUCAAAUGAAUCUCUAUUGAGUAUAUAAAUUAAGCAGAUGUUGACUUAUUUUUUGUAGUUUUUGGCUUAUCUGGCAUACAUCGGCAAUUAUGCCUCAUGUACUUUAGCCUUUUCUAAAUAUCUGGCAUCUUUAUUUAAAUGUUUUAAUGUACACUGAAUGACCUAAUUAUUAUUUUGCUGACAUAUGCGAUUAAGAGGAUUGUUGUAAAUGCUGUUAUUUUUGUUCUUGUUGUCAUUCACAAGUAGGCCGACCUUUUUUUAAUGUGUUGGCCACUGUGUCCUUAACUAUAAUUUGGCUAGAAACUUUACUAUUACUUCUCCAAUUGCUCAUUAUAAAAGGCUCUUUGAUAAAUUCCUGUAUCCUUCCAACUUUGUAAUCAGUAGCGUACUGAUCUAAUUUUAUCUUCCUAUACUAGAGGUUUUUGAUAAUAGGGCAUACCUUUCCAAGGUACUUUGGAUGUUGACACCUCUACUGUACAUAAUUUCAUUAUUUUCCCCAUCUCUGAUCUUUUCUGUAUCAGUUGCUUGCUGUCAAAUUGUAUCCUUCAGCAAAGCAAUCUAAGGCUGAAACCUCUUUUUGAAUUCAAAGAUCUUUUGGAAGUUUUUUCUUGUUUUUCCAUGUUGGUUUUUGUCUUGAAUAUAUUUACAGAUGUCAGUGCAAUACUAUUUCUUGUCUCUUUUAACAUUCAUCAUUAAGUUCCCUCCUGAGAUAUUUCUCUCUCUAGACUUUGGCAAUUUAAAGAAAACCCAGUUUUCUUUCUUACAAGUCAUAGUCUUAGACUAUAUGAAUUUCGAAUUCAUAUUUAAUAAUAGUCCUGAUGUAUUCUUGUUCCCUAUCCCUAAACUGUAGACAUUUUUCAUUUUUUCUUGGAAAUGGUGGGUACAUGCUCAAUAUCAUGGUCUGAAUGAUGGUUGAUUUUGUUCUUUCACUUCAGACUUCAAUCUUGCACACAAGCAGUUCAUAAUCUGUUGCAAAGACAAUCACUGGUCACAUCUUUAUUGUUUCAAGUCCUAAUUCCAGUCAAUUUGAUUUUGGUGCAUUUCAUCUUGUUAUGACCAUAUACAAUAUAUAUAGUUAGUAUUCAUAGAAAAUUAUUACCAAAUGAAAAAAGUUAAAGGAUACCAAAAUAUAAUAGGCUCUUAUUUAUUGGAGAAUUUAUUUUUUAUUUAUAUUCAGACAAGAAUGAUUUGAUUUUUAAGAUUCAGUAGAAAUUUGAUGGCACAUAAUCAAAUUAAAUAUACAUUCAUAUGAUAAAAAGUAAGUAACAUUUAAUAUCAUUAACAUGUUUAACAUGGUUUUAAACUAUACAAAACAGCAAACAGUCUGUAGUAUGAUGAAUUGAGAAUGCAGGAAUAGUUUGAUGGGGGAAAAGUAGAGAUAUAUGUAAUUCACCUUUUGUUGAUUGUAAAAAAAA